GGGAAGUCUUAAUGGCAGUCGAGCGAAGCGAUAAGGUGAAAUUUUUCGGAAUGAAGCCAUAUUGACUUAGCGGCGGACGGGUGAGUAACGCGUGGGUAACCUGCCUCAUACAGGGGGAUAACAGUUAGAAAUGACUGCUAAUACCGCAUAAGCGCACAGGACUGCAUGGUCCGGUGUGAAAAACCGAGGUGGUAUGAGAUGGACCCGCGUCUGAUUAGCUGGUUGGCGGGGUAACGGCCCACCAAGGCGACGAUCAGUAGCCGACCUGAGAGGGUGGCCGGCCACAUUGGGACUGAGACACGGCCCAAACUCCUACGGGAGGCAGCAGUGGGGAAUAUUGCACAAUGGGGGAAACCCUGAUGCAGCAACGCCGCGUGAGUGAAGAAGUAUUUCGGUAUGUAAAGCUCUAUCAGCAGGGAAGAGAAUGACGGUACCUGACUAAGAAGCCCCGGCUAACUACGUGCCAGCAGCCGCGGUAAUACGUAGGGGGCGAGCGUUAUCCGGAUUUACUGGGUGUAAAGGGAGCGUAGACGGUUCUGCAAGUCUGAAGUGAAAGCCCGUGGCUUAACCGCGGAACGGCUUUGGAAACUGUGGAACUGGAGUGCUGGAGAGGCAAGCGGAAUUCCUAGUGUAGCGGUGAAAUGCGUAGAUAUUAGGAGGAACACCAGUGGCGAAGGCGGCUUGCUGGACAGUAACUGACGUUGAGGCUCGAAAGCGUGGGGAGCAAACAGGAUUAGAUACUCUGGUAGU
rnacentral:rRNA from 1 species